rnacentral:rRNA from 1 species
AUUGAACGCUGGCGGCAGGCCUAACACAUGCAAGUCGAGCGGCAGCGGGAAAGUAACUUGCUACUUUUGCCGGCGAGCGGCGGACGGGUGAGUAAUGCCUGGGGAUCUGCCCAGUCGAGGGGGAUAACUACUGGAAACGGUAGCUAAUACCGCAUACGCCCUACGGGGGAAAGCAGGGGACCUUCGGGCCUUGCGCGAUUGGAUGAACCCAGGUGGGAUUAGCUAGUUGGUGAGGUAACGGCUCACCAAGGCGACGAUCCCUAGCUGGUCUGAGAGGAUGAUCAGCCACACUGGAACUGAGACACGGUCCAGACUCCUACGGGAGGCAGCAGUGGGGAAUAUUGCACAAUGGGGGAAACCCUGAUGCAGCCAUGCCGCGUGUGUGAAGAAGGCCUUCGGGUUGUAAAGCACUUUCAGCGAGGAGGAAAGGUUGGUAGCUAAUAACUGCCAGCUGUGACGUUACUCGCAGAAGAAGCACCGGCUAACUCCGUGCCAGCCGCCGCUGUAAAAC